rnacentral:lncRNA from 1 species
UACACAGGCCAGGCUCAGCUCCCUUAUGCUGGUGCCACUUUCGAGAAACUCCGGGAAGGUGGUGCCAGGUCCCGCGGUUUUUACCUCCAGUACGUGCAGGUAUGUGCCAAUUCUCUGGGUGCCGCCCCCCGUUGCCACCGCCCCCCGCCAUCGUCGUCCCCCCGUCGCCGCCCCGGACGAUCAUGUGUGAGAGCCAGCGAAUCUUAUUGACACCGGCACCCCGUUCAUUUUUUCAGCGGGUCGUUGGGUCGCCCACUUUGAGGAAGCGCGCAUUGCAUAUAAAAGGCGGAGGGGGGGCAGCGUGGCCCAACACUCGCUUGUGGACCAGCGACCAGUAAAGGUGUGGUGCAGAACUACUAACGGGUGCAAGUUUGUGUUAUAGUGGUGCACCGAGCAUCGAAUGGCAGAAUUGGAAAACAAGAAUCUCGUCUUCACAUAUGUUAUCCUCAUCGCGUUCUUAGUGGUGCUAUACAUGUUCCUGGAGGGGCUCGUGUUUUAAUAACAUGAGCUUAUAACCCUUACCCUCUCCACACCCUUCCCUCACCCAACCUCAGUGACGUAGUUUGAUCACGCUCCAGCGUAUUCUCGCCCCUGUCUUCCCCUCGGUGUCAAGCCAAAGUUCUCCACCUCUCCCGUGGCAGUAAAAGGGACCACACGACCUCCCAAUAUCUGCAUCCUCCCUCCUUGACCCAGUCCAAGGAUCGCAGGAACUUCUCUCCCCACCCAAGGCCCCACGAAUUAUUGACCCCAACUCACGGAUUGUUGUCGUGAUGGAGAACCAGUCCCUGGCCAGCACUUACUUCAUCCUCCUCUCCUGCCUCGCCCUCCUCUACGUCGUCCUCGAGGUACUCUAAACACCACACUACUACACAGUGUUACGUGACUACCUGAAGCACAAGUUGACUUCCCACCACCUGACUGAGAAAGUUGUCAGGAUUGAGCCAUAACUCACCGAAGAUGAUUGACACAGAGAACAAGUCUCUCGUUUACACCUACGGCAUACUCUUGGCGUUCCUGGUGGUGCUGUACUUCUUCAUGCAGGGCACCUUCUUCUAACUCCUACAUAUUGUUAUAGUUUAUUGUUGCGAGUUAUUACAGUAAAUACCAAGAUGGCCGUCAGUGAGCAUCAGAACCUAGGCUACACCUACAUCAUUCUCCUGACCUUCCUCUUCGUGCUUUACCUGUUGUUGGACAGCGCCUUCUUCUGAACACUUACACUCAGCAAGAGAGAACUCCGACGUGUUCAUCGUUGUUCACAAGUGUUCCAGACUCCUUCAACAUGGAUGAAAACAAGAGUAUUGGCUAUACUUACCUCAUCCUGGUAGCCUUCCUGGUGGCUCUUUACGCCAUCCUGGAGGGAGCUUUCUACUGAGCCCCCUGUCUGUGUUGUGAGAGGCAGUCAAGAUGCCUGGCAGUGAGAACACCAGCUUGUUUAACAACUACAUCGUGUUGAUCGUCCUCCUGGUGGCUCUCUACGUGUUCGUCGGCGGCUCCACCAGCUGAGGUUAAGAGUCAUCACCGGGUUAAUUAACUCUUAAGACAAAUAUAGAACUUCUCGACAAAAAAAGAUGGAAAUUGUUGAACAGCGGAACUUAUUCUACUCUUAUAUUGUCUUCAUGGCGGUCGUCUUUACUUUCUACAUCAAGUUUGAAGCAGCCAUCUUUUAAGAGAGAAAACAGCAGACGCCCACCAGCCAUGGAGACUCAGGUGUUCUGUUGUACAUAUGCCGUCCUCUUGUGUUUCCUUCUGGUCGUGUACACAGCCUUCCAGAUCUGAUCCACACACAAGACAGCUCUGCUAACACGAUCGUCAAAAAACUCAAGUUAUAACACCGAAAACAAUAAAUCACCAUAUCCUCAGGACCAAGACACUCGCCCUUGAGUACUCCCGAGGAUAACCCCGAAUACGCUGGAGAUCCUUGUCCUUUCUGCUUGUAGUUCCCAGUACCACCCAUUCCAAAAUCUUCACUCCCACCUUCAGUCCUAACGAGUGUGAAAGAUUUUGAGAGUUUUCCAGUCGACGCUGUUACUUACUUUGGAUCAUCGCCGCCUGUAGACAUCAUUCUCAGUGCUCUCCAGCAUUCAUCAGCGUCUUCGCCAAGAGGAACAGCAGUGAAGAUGGUCGCCUCUUGAGCUCGACAAUAAUAUCUCUACUGUACAAACGGACUUGCCUUCAUCAAUGCUGUCAAAGAAAGAACUUUUGAAAUAUUUUCGUAGUAACAGUAUUUUGGAUACAUUUCUCUUAAAGUAUUUUAGCCUUUGUUCUUUAAGGUGAUAUAUAUGUAACUAGUGAGGCAGCACCGUACAUCAUGGAUUUAUACCUCCUGUCACCAGUAUUUUUAAAGAAAAUGAUUCGUAGGCCUUCAGCCACACCUGAAGGUGACCCGGAAGCCCUCCCGCCGGAAGACACGUUGAGGCUCCUGGGUCAUGACGAGGAAGGUAACGCCGAGGUGGACUACGAGGCGGAAAUGGAGGCAGCGGCCUGGCGGGGUCGGCGGCGGUCUAGCCUGGACCGAGUUCUGCGUCAACACGCUUACAUCAUCAUCUGCGUCCUGUGCUACGCCUGUACACUGCCGGGCCACAGGACCUGAGGCACCGCCCACACCGCCACACGUCUGCGCCUACGACACAGGGAAGACUUUUCCCCACAAAGAGAGUUGGAUAUGAUAGCUUGUAAAUAAAGCUAUGGGCGUUUUGGUUAUAUUCCAAGAAUUUAUCAGACAUUUUGUAAUAUAGGCUUUUAAGGCUCGCACAGAUUAUAUUCAUUCGUGAUAUAGGAAAGAGUUAGAGCAGUGUUUGUGAUAUAAUAACAUAUUGAUUAUCUUACAGUAGGUGUAGCCUGGUAGAGCGAACACCUUAUCUCUCUAGUCAUCUGACAGUUGUUGCUGUUGGUAAAUAUCAUUGAUGAGCAUUGUACAUAUAUACAGCACUUGGUAGCAGUGAGGAGCUGAAGUGUGUUUUGUUGUUGUUAUUGUCAUGUAGUUCAGCAUAAGACAGAGGCUGACCUUUAGCUACCCCGUCAGCACAUAGCAAGUCCCCAUUACUGUUAGUGUAGACAAGUGGAUAGUGCCUGGCGUUUUAACUAUACACCGUCAGCAGUUAAUGGUCUUUUAGCCCACUUGACACUGUAAUCCAAAUAAUAGUUUCUCUCCGGCAUAAAAGGACUUAAAAAGAGCCAGUACUUCCCGGGAGAGUCUGUAGUCUUCCUGUAGGUGUAGCUUAAGUAGCCACUCCAGCUCCCCCUUCUGCAGUAGUAGAUGGUAGAGUCUUUUAACACGUUGGUCACCUGACAAUAUAAAGUUCCUAUUAAUAUUUUUUUUUAUUACUUUUACUUUACUUUACACUUUUACUUUAUCUGCCAAACUUUGCUCAAAUCAACACCCUCUUUUACACUGUGCUUUAAACUGGUGCAUACUGUAUAGGGGACGAGCUAGUGUUUUGUAUAGGAGGUAGAGUCAAUUAACUAACUUACGCUACUAUUUUCAGUCUAUUUUCCGGCAGCUUAUACAAAAUACAAUACUACUUUACCUUGCAACAAUAACAUGACUUUAUUGCUAUGAUUUACCGCUAUUUUUUUAACAGACUCAACAGCUAUGCAAUACUAAGCAAUGGUGUUUGAUAUGUUACUAUUAUUAUUAUUAUUAUUAUUAUUAUCACUGUUAAUUUAUUAUCCAUAGGCAACUACCAAUCGCCACCUGUUAUUUUGUCAAUUUUGUUUACAUAGAUAAUUAAUUAUUUGUGCUACCUGUUAAUUAAGCCAACAGGUGUGAAGAGACUAACCUGAGGUAGUUAGUUAUCAGACGACCCAAAAUGAGUAUCAGGGCGAUUGUUUGUAUGAAAGUAGAUAUAUAAACUUUUUUAUAUCUGUAUUCAUUAAUAAAUACUUUUAUUUU